UUUAUUCUAUAUAUUAUUAAAAAUCAUUUGUUUUCUGUAAUCAAAUAUUUUUCAUUGGUUGGUUAUUCACAACUGUGAUUGGUCGAGACGGAAGCAGAUUUAAUAUGGCGAAUUUAACGGUAAAUUUGAGUGUGUUUUCAUCGUUAAUAAUUGUUAGUUUUUUAAAUUAACUAGUUAGUACCUUUGCUCGCUUAAUAUAAAAACCUUUUAAAUUGUGUUAAACGUGGUAAAUACAAAAGAUGGUGAUUAUGCAAGAUGAAAUAGAAAAUAGAGUUAACAUCGCGUUGAGAUAUUGUUGAAAACAUUCACUUGGUCGAUGUUGUUCAAAGCCAAGACUUGCCACUGAAAAUACUAAAAACUUUAUAUGUAAAAGGAUUAAAACUUCAAAAUUACUGAUAUGUGGAGAUUCACUAAAAGGCACAUAGCAGAUACAUUGCCAGCGUGUAUAAAAUGUUAAUACUAAGAUAAUUUUUAACUGCUAAUUUGUAAAAGACAAUAAAUAUUUAUUUACUAUU